GUUAUUAUUGCAUGGUACGUAGCUAUAUAUUGCUGUGUGAGUGAGUGAGUGAUUAUGUUGGGAUUGGGUGCGUGAUUCCGCACAUAAACUGUAAGGUAAAUAUGUGUUGAGUAUUCUUCGUUUUCCAAUUUUUUCGAUUCAGUACAGUAUAUGCAGCUAUGCAUCUGUCUGAAUUUUGAGUCAGUAUGCUCGUGUGUGCACGGUCCAGAUUGAUCGUCGAUCCAUGAAGCAUCUGUACUGUCAGUCAGUGUCAUGUUCAGUGUACCUUCAAAUUUAUUUGGAAUAAAUCGGCCCAUGGACCGUCUACCAUUGGGCUGUUCGAC
rnacentral:sRNA from 1 species